rnacentral:rRNA from 1 species
ACAGAGGGUGCGAGCGUUAAUCGGAAUUACUGGGCGUAAAGCGUGCGUAGACGGUAGCGUAAGUCGGGUGUGAAAGCCCCGGGCUCAACCUGGGAAUUGCAUUCGAGACUGCUCUGCUAGGGUGCGGAAGAGGGAAGCGGAAUUUCCGGUGUAGCGGUGAAAUGCGUAGAUAUCGGAAGGAACACCAGUGGCGAAAGCGGCUUCCUGGUCCAGCACCGACGUUCAGGCACGAAAGCGUGGGGAGCAAACAGGA